rnacentral:rRNA from 1 species
AACGAACGCUGGCGGCGCGCUUAACACAUGCAAGUCGCACGGCGGGGCCUCGGCCCCGCAGUGGCGCACGGGUGAGUAACGCGUGGGAACCUGCCCCGGGGCCCGGGACAACCGCGGGAAACUGCGGCUAAUACCGGGUACGCCUUUCGAGGGAGAGGGCUUCGGCCCGCCCCGGGAUGGGCCCGCGUCCGAUUAGCUAGUUGGCGGGGUAACGGCCCACCAAGGCUCCGAUCGGUAGCCGGUCUGAGAGGAUGAUCGGCCACACUGGGACUGAGACACGGCCCAGACUCCUACGGGAGGCAGCAGUGGGGAAUCUUGGACAAUGGGCGCAAGCCUGAUCCAGCGACGCCGCGUGGGUGACGAAGGCCCUCGGGUUGUAAAGCCCUUUUGCCGGGACGAUGAUGACGGUACCGGCGAAUAAGCACCGGCUAACUCCGUGCCAGCAGCCGCCG